UACGGAAGGGGCAAGCGUUGUUCGGAAUCAUUGGGCGUAAAGGGCGCGUAGGUGGUUCUGUAUGUCUACCGUGAAAGCAUACAGCUCAACUGUAUUUUGUCGGCAGAAACUGCAGGACUUGAGGCUGGGAGGGGCUGGUGGAAUUCCCUGUGUAGCGGUGAAAUGCGUAGAGAUGGGGGAGAACACUCGUGGCGAAGGCGGCCAGCUAGACCAGUUCUGACACUGAGGCGCGACAGCGUGGGGAGCAAACAGG
rnacentral:rRNA from 1 species